UACGUAGGCAGCAAGCGUUGUUCGGAAUUACUGGGCGUAAAGAGCGUGUAGGCGGCCAGACAGGUCCGUUGUGAAAACUCGAGGCUCAACCUCGAGACGCCGAUGGAAACCGUCUGGCUAGAGUCCGGAAGAGGAGAGUGGAAUUCCUGGUGUAGCGGUGAAAUGCGCAGAUAUCAGGAAGAACACCCGUGGCUAAGGCGGCUCUCUAGUACGGUACUGACGCUGAGACGCGAAAGCGUGGGGAGCGAACAGG
rnacentral:rRNA from 1 species